rnacentral:rRNA from 1 species
UACGUAGGGGGCAAGCGUUGUCCGGAAUCAUUGGGCGUAAAGAGCGCGUAGGCGGUCCGGUAAGUCCGCUCUGAAAGUCGGGGGCUCAACCCUCGAAUGCCGGUGGAUACUGUCGGGCUAGAGUGCGGAAGAGGCGAGUGGAAUUCCUGGUGUAGCGGUGAAAUGCGCAGAUAUCAGGAGGAACACCCAAUUGCGAAGGCAGCUCGCUGGGACGUAACUGACGCUGAGAACGGCGAAAGCGUGGGGAGCAAACAGGA